rnacentral:rRNA from 1 species
UACGUGGGGUGCAAGCGUUGUUCGGAAUUACUGGGCGUAAAGCGCGUGUAGGCGGUUCGCUAAGUUCGAUGUGAAAGCCCUGGGCUUAACCCAGGAACUGCAUUGAAAACUGGCGGACUUGAGUCCGGGAGAGGGUCGCGGAAUUCCUGGUGUAGAGGUGAAAUUCGUAGAUAUCAGGAGGAACACCGGUGGCGAAGGCGGCAUCCUGGACCAACACUGACACUGAGGAGCGAAAGCCAGGGGAGCAAACGGG